AAAAAUGUCAGGUAUCAGACUCAGACGUAAAAAUGUCAGGUCUCAGACUCAGACCAAAAAAUGUCAGGUAUCAGACUCAGACCACAAAAUGUCAGGUCUCAGACUCAGACGUAAAAAUGUCAGGUCUCAGACUCAGACCAAAAAAUGUCAGGUCUCAGACUCAGACCACAAAAUGUCAGGUAUCAGACUCAGACGAAAAAAUGUCAGGUAUCAGACUCAGACCAAAAAAUGUCAGGUAUCAGACUCAGACGAGAAAAUGUCAGGUAUCAGACUCAGACCAAAAAAUGUCAGGUAUCAGACUCAGACGUAAAAAUGUCAGGUCUCAGACUCAGACCAAAAAAUGUCAGGUCUCAGACUCAGACCAAAAAAUGUCAGGUAUCAGACUCAGACCACAAAAUGUCAGGUAUCAGACUCAGACGUAAAAAUGUCAGGUAUCAGACUCAGACCACAAAAUGUCA
ensembl:lncRNA